rnacentral:misc_RNA from 1 species
GGCAAAUGUCCCUAAAGAAAUGUAAAAGAAGAAGUUGGUCUAGCACUCAAAGUAACACAAAGAAUACAGAAAAUCUUCUUAUUAUAUUAAUGUCAAAAACAACCCAUUUACUUGUUUUCAAGAGAGUUCUUCACAUCAAAAGAAGAGAAAGAGAGUGAGAAAGAGAAUUCUUCACGUCAUUCUCCUUUGAGUUUCCUCUCUCUCUCUUUGGUUUAGUCUCCCUCAUCCAGAACCUACAUCUAGGAUGAUAAUUUCUCUCCAAAUGACUUCCAUUUUUUUACAGUUUGGUUGAAAAUCUCUCUUAAGCCCCUCUUACUGCAUAAUCAUAUGCCCUAUAUACUCAAAUUUUAUGGUAGCUCCUAGUUAAAAACCAAAGCAAUUGAAGUCUCCUAAACUAAGCAAGAUCAGUUAAAGAAUGAUCUGUCUGUGUUAAAGCAAUAUCGAUAUGCUGAUAGAAUGUAAAACGAUGCAGCAAUGAGUAAUUUCUUAAAGAGAAAUUUUUUCAGUUUCCAUAAAGCUUAACUCAGGAUGCAAUAUUACACUGAGAUGCAUACUUCAAUCAGAAUACCAACUUCUGUGCAGAAUAUACUAGGACAAUUAGGUCCAUAUGGAAUUUAGGGAAUAAGUGUCCCCUUUUCAUCAAUGUAAUGAGAAAUAUUGGCUACUCAGGCCUGGAUCAGAAUGAGAUUAAUAACUUUGACUAGAACACUAAUCAAACUUUGUACCUAUCAAGUUGGUGAUUUCUAUUGCCUGCUUCACAUCACCCAUCAAUACACUAUAUAUUAAAAUGAAGCUUAGACGAAAUUAAAAACUCUUUUUCGAAUUGCUUAUUUGAUUUUUCUAUAAUUUUAGAAUUUUGAAUUUUUAAUGAAAUUAUUAGAGAAAACCCCUUGGCUUUCCUAUUUCAUUUAUGUUAGUGAAUAUAAAUUUUAGCGGCCUUACUUAUUAUUUUAUUCUUUGGGUAUUUAACAAGGAGAGGAUUUAUUAUUUCUUUUGAUUGUUGGUAGGUUAUUUUUAAUUUCUCAAGUGGUAUAACCAUUGGCACUCUUUGGCUUCCUAUUCUUUUUUGACAUCAAAAUGUAUAUUAGAGUUAUUUUCAUUACUUUUCGUUAAUUACUUUCUAAUGGAUUCCAGGAAAUUAUUCUUUUAUUUUUAUUUAUUUAUU